GAUGAAGAACGUAGUGAAAUGCGAUAAGUAGUGUGAAUUGCAGAAUUCAGUGAAUCAUCGAAUCUUUGAACGCACAUUGCGCCUCCUGGUAUUCCGGGAGGCAUGCCUGUUCGAGCGUCAUUAAAAUCACUCAAGCUUAGGUUUACCUAUUGCUUGGUCUUGGAGAUGGAAGCCAAUUUAUUGGAAUCCUCUUCGAAAUUCAAUGGCGAAGACCCUUGCUCUCCCAAGUGUAGUAAUAACUUAUGUCACUGAAGGAAGCGAGAAAUCUUCUGCCGUAACCCCCAUAUUUUCUAUGAUUGACCUCGGAUCAGGUAGGGAUACCCGCUGAACUUAAGCAUAUCAAUAACGGAGGA
rnacentral:misc_RNA from 1 species